CUUCAUACCUGCCAGCUGGGCUCUUUUCUUCAUGGGAGCCUGCUAUGCAGUGGCUGCAAAAUGCAACCUCCUUGGUGCGCACAACCGGCUGCCUGUGUGGAUUACGCUAAGGGACCUUGGAGAGAGCU
rnacentral:snoRNA from 1 species